rnacentral:rRNA from 1 species
UACAGUUGUUGCAGUUAAAAAGCUCGUAGUUGAAUUUCGGGAUCAAUACGACGGUCGUGCCUCCGGUAUGUACUGGAGUUGUUGGUUUCUCCUUUCUGAGGGGCCAUGAUGCCAUUAAUUUGGUGUCGUGGGGAAUCAGGACUGUUACUUUGAAAAAAUUAGAGUGUUUAAAGCAGGCACACGCUUGAAUACAUUAGCAUGGAAUAAUGAAGUAGGACGUUCGAUUCUAUUUUGUUGGUUUCUAGGAUCAACGUAAUGAUUAAUAGGG